AACGAACGCUGGCGGCAGGCCUAACACAUGCAAGUCGGGCGCCCUUUCGGGGGAGCGGCGGACGGGUGAGUAACGCGUGGGAAUAUGCCCUUCUCUACGGAAUAGCCUCGGGAAACUGAGAGUAAUACCGUAUACGCCCUUUGGGGGAAAGAUUUAUCGGGGAAGGAUUAGCCCGCGUUGGAUUAGGUAGUUGGUGGGGUAAUGGCCUACCAAGCGGACGAUCCAUAGCUGGUUUGAGAGGAUGAUCAGCCACACUGGGACUGGGACACGGCCCAGACUCCUACGGGAGGCAGCAGUGGGGAAUCCUAGACAAUGGGGGCAAUCCUGAUCUAGCCAGGCCGCGUGAGUGAUGAAGUCCUUAGGGUUGUAAAGCUCUUUCAGCUGGGAAGAUAAUGACGGUACCAGCAGAAGAAGCCCCGGCUAACUCCGUG
rnacentral:rRNA from 1 species